UGAGCCUGGGUUGGAAAGUGGUGA
rnacentral:piRNA from 1 species